rnacentral:rRNA from 1 species
CCUACGGGAGGCUGCAGUGGGGGAUAUUGGACAAUGGGGGGAACCCUGAUCCAGCGACGCCGCGUGAGUGAAGAAGUAUUUCGGUAUGUAAAGCUCUGUCAGCAGGGAAGAAAGAAAUGACGGUACCUGACCACGAAGCCCCGGCUAACUACGUGCCAGCAGCCGCGGUAAUACGUAGGGGGCAAGCGUUAUCCGGAAUUACUGGGUGUAAAGGGAGCGUAGACGGUUAAGUAAGUCUGGAGUGAAAGGCCGGGGCACAACCCCGGGACUGCUCUGGAAACUAUUGAACUUGAGUGUAGGAGCGGUAAGCGGAAUGCCUAGUGUAGCGGUGAAAUGCGUAGAUAUUAGGAGGAACACCAGUGGCGAAGGCGGCUUACUGGACUGUAACUGACGUUGAGGCUCGAAAGCGUGGGGAGCAAACAGGAUUAGAUACCCGAGUAGUC